rnacentral:tRNA from 2 species
GGGCCUGUAGCGCAGUUGGGAGCGCAUCACAUUCGCAUUGUGGGGGUCGAGAGUUCGAAUCUCUUCAGGUCCACCA